GAUGUAUUUAAAUGAUUGAAUAAAUUAAUAAAUGGAGAAGAGAUAAAUUUCCCAUGCCGAAGAAUUCCAAGUAAUGGAUAUCGCUACUCCCCGCGCAGGGAGGGGAGCGUGGCCCCCGCUCCGUCAGGGUGUGCCCACACGGUGACUCCCUUCAGAAGAGCGCAGUUUGGAUGGCAGUGGAGGAGGGAGUGACUUCACAGGAGAGGAACCUGACAAACGCUGCCUCAGCCAGUGAGCAAGGUCAGCGUCAUCAGUCACCAAUUGUGUGGAGACUGUGGACACUUGACAUCACGGCAGGAGAAUGGGAGUCUGUGGUCUCCUCCCCCAAACUCAUGAGCUUGUAAUUGUGACAGAAGCACCAGACAGAUUUCAGUAGAGCAGUGUGAUGGUUAGUUCUCUGUGACAACUCAGCUAGUCCUCAGCACCCGGUUAUUCAAUCAAACACUCAUCUAGGUACUGCUGUGAAGGUACUUUGUACAUGGGAUGAACAUCUCCGAUCUGUUGACUCUAAGCAAAGGAGACGAUCUCGAUACUCUGGUUGGUCCUCAUCCAAUGAGUUGAAUGGCCUUAAGAACAAAACCAAAGGUUCCCCAAGGAAGAAGAAAGUCUACCUACGGAUGGCAGUGCCAGCGCCUCCCUGCAGACUUUGGACUUGCAUAACCAGCCCCCACAAUUGAUAAGCCAAUUCCUUGGCAAUAAAGCGAUUACACCUCAAUAGAGAAGAACCACAGUGAGGUACCACCACUGGAAUUUAACCAUUGGAAUGGUUAAAUUAAAGAGACUAGGAAUACCGAAUGUUGGCGAGUAUGUGAAGCAGCUGGACCUCUCACGCGUUGAUGAUGGGGAUGUGAAAUGGAUCUGCACAGGCGGUGCAUCCUUGUAUCCACCAUGGUGAGAGUGUUAGUGAGCAUGAAGGUGCAGCACUCCCCUGGGUAUUAGCACCCCACGUACCUCAGCAACGGAAUCCUUAUUGCCAUCUGGACGAAGUAGAACCUGAGUCAAGGAUUCAAAGGCAAGUAUUUACUUGAGAAAUGAUGCUGGGAAUCACCAGCAAGCAAAUGGGAAAGUGACACAGGGAAGAAGAGGAGGCCAAUAAAGGAUGUGCUAUCAAGCAAGUUAGGAGGGUGGACAACUGGAACUUAAUCCUGCUGGGGAACUCAGGGAGCGAGGAAUAAUGUGAGACUCAGGACCACCCCACCUGAGGGAUGAGAGAGCUGGGAUAUUUAUCCCCCAAUCCCAAUCAGUUAUUGGCUGAGGGUUGCUACGGAUGGGCAGCAGGGAAGACAGACUGUGCCUCCAUUUCCCCCACCUUCCUGUAAAAGAUGCAACCAACUUUGCAGGGCCCUGCUGGGAUUGCAGAGGGUUGAUGGCACCAUGUAACAAUGCUGGCAGCCAAGGGGUUAACCCUCAGGCCAGCUGCCCCUGGGCUGAUGUGAGGUAGGACUGGAGGGGGGGGCGGAGAGGGGGGGCGGGGAAGCAGUGCCUUGGCUCCAUCCCCUCCAGUUUCAUGGGCACCAGCUCUACCGCUGGGAACUUCCACAGCGCCCAGGCCCGUAGCUGCCAGUCUACUCUCCAUUCACUGUCCUGAGUGGUUCCAGGCGCCGAGCUUCUAAGGCUUGUUCUGGUUUCCCAUCCCCCACCCGAGGCGCCGUUGACUCCGCCGGCUGGUGCAGACAAAUCAAGCCCGGAGUGCAGACAAAUACGCAGUGUCUCCGACUGCUCCUUGGCCUCCUGGGUCAGCAGCGUAGAGCCACCUGCGCUUUCUGAACGCAGACCUGGCCUUGGCCUCGCUGGCAAGACCGAUACAAAAUGCGUUAGGGUAGGGGAGCUGGGAUGAGGGCACAGGAGGUGAGGACCUCCAUUCCCCAAGCAGCGCGGGAGAAAUCGGAGAGACACCAUGGAUCACAGGUCAGAAACAAGGGAGGAGAGGCGUCGGAGAUCAGAGACGCGAGGCGAGGGCUCCGGGCCUUGAGUGUGGGGUGGACAGACCAGAUGCCCCCUCUUCCUCCUUCCAAUCGAUGCCUCUUCCAGGGACCCCCUCUGCCCUCCCUGGGGCCUCGGCCCUCUCCCCAUCCCCCUAAAAUCCUGCACCCUCUGCGGAUUGGUCCCCGGCCUGCAGGGGGGCGGGGCCCGAGGGCCCUGACGUCACCGG
rnacentral:lncRNA from 1 species